UACGAAGGGGGCUAGCGUUGUUCGGAUUUACUGGGCGUAAAGCGCACGUAGGCGGAUCGUUAAGUCGGGGGUGAAAGCCUGUGGCUCAACCACAGAAUUGCCUUCGAUACUGUAGAGCUUGAGACCGGAAGAGGUAAGUGGAACUGCGAGUGUAGAGGUGAAAUUCGUAGAUAUUCGCAAGAACACCAGUGGCGAAGGCGGCUUACUGGUCCGGUUCGUGACGCUGAGGCGCGAAAAG
rnacentral:rRNA from 1 species